rnacentral:rRNA from 1 species
GAUGAACGCUGGCGGCGUGCCUAAUACAUGCAAGUCGAGCGAACGGACGAGAAGCUUGCUUCUCUGAUGUUAGCGGCGGACGGGUGAGUAACACGUGGAUAACCUACCUAUAAGACUGGGAUAACUUCGGAAAACCGGAGCUAAUACCGGAUAAUAUUUUGAACCGCAUGGUUCAAAAGUGAAAGACGGUCUUGCUGUCACUUAUAGAUGGAUCCGCGCUGCAUUAGCUAGUUGGUAAGGUAACGGCUUACCAAGGCAACGAUGCAUAGCCGACCUGAGAGGGUGAUCGGCCACACUGGAACUGAGACACGGUCCAGAUUCCUACGGGAGGCAGCAGUAGGGAAUCUUCCGCAAUGGGCGAAAGCCUGACGGAGCAACGCCGCGUGAGUGAUGAAGGUCUUCGGAUCGUAAAACUCUGUUAUUAGGGAAGAACAUAUGUGUAAGUAACUGUGCACAUCUUGACGGUACCUAAUCAGAAAGCCACGGCUAACUACGUG